GCUUAACACAUGCAAGUCGAGCGGUAAGGCCCUUCGGGGUACACGAGCGGCGAACGGGUGAGUAACACGUGGGUGAUCUGCCUCGUACUCUGGGAUAAGCCUGGGAAACUGGGUCUAAUACCGGAUAUGACCACGAAUCGCAUGGUUUGUGGUGGAAAGAUUUAUCGGUGCGAGAUGGGCCCGCGGCCUAUCAGCUUGUUGGUGGGGUAAUGGCCUACCAAGGCGACGACGGGUAGCCGACCUGAGAGGGUGACCGGCCACACUGGGACUGAGACACGGCCCAGACUCCUACGGGAGGCAGCAGUGGGGAAUAUUGCACAAUGGGCGAAAGCCUGAUGCAGCGACGCCGCGUGAGGGAUGACGGCCUUCGGGUUGUAAACCUCUUUCGACAGGGACGAAGCGAAAGUGACGGUACCUGUAGAAGAAGCACCGGCCAACUACGUGCCAGCAGCCGCGGUAAUACGUAGGGUGCGAGCGUUGUCCGGAAUUACUGGGCGUAAAGAGCUUGUAGGCGGUUCGUCGCGUCGAUUGUGAAAACUUGCAGCUCAACUGCAAGCUUGCAGUCGAUACGGGCGGACUAGAGUACUGCAGGGGAGACUGGAAUUC
rnacentral:rRNA from 1 species